ACCUGGAUGGUUCAAUUGGCUGAGCAUCUGACUUCGGCUCAGGUCAUGAUCUCACAGUUCGUGGGUUCGAGCCCCACGUCGGGCU
rnacentral:tRNA from 1 species